rnacentral:rRNA from 1 species
GUCGAGCGGUAGCACAGAGAGCUUGCUCUCGGGUGACGAGCGGCGGACGGGUGAGUAAUGUCUGGGAAACUGCCUGAUGGAGGGGGAUAACUACUGGAAACGGUAGCUAAUACCGCAUAAYGUCGCAAGACCAAAGUGGGGGACCUUCGGGCCUCAUGCCAUCAGAUGUGCCCAGAUGGGAUUAGCUAGUAGGUGGGGUAACGGCUCACCUAGGCGACGAUCCCUAGCUGGUCUGAGAGGAUGACCAGCCACACUGGAACUGAGACACGGUCCAGACUCCUACGGGAGGCAGCAGUGGGGAAUAUUGCACAAUGGGCGCAAGCCUGAUGCAGCCAUGCCGCGUGUGUGAAGAAGGCCUUCGGGUUGUAAAGCACUUUCAGCGGGGAGGAAGGCGUUAAGGUUAAUAACCUUGGCGAUUGACGUUACCCGCAGAAGAAGCACCGGCUAACUCCGUGCCAGCAGCCGCGGUAAUACGGAGGGUGCAAGCGUUAAUCGGAAUUACUGGGCGUAAAGCGCACGCAGGCGGUCUGUCAAGUCGGAUGUGAAAUCCCCGGGCUCAACCUGGGAACUGCAUUCGAAACUGGCAGGCUAGAGUCUUGUAGAGGGGGGUAGAAUUCCAGGUGUAGCGGUGAAAUGCGUAGAGAUCUGGAGGAAUACCGGUGGCGAAGGCGGCCCCCUGGACAAAGACUGACGCUCAGGUGCGAAAGCGUGGGGAGCAAACAGGAUUAGAUACCCUGGUAGUCCACGCCGUAAACGAUGUCGAUUUGGAGGUUGUGCCCUUGAGGCGUGGCUUCCGGAGCUAACGCGUUAAAUCGACCGCCUGGGGAGUACGGCCGCAAGGUUAAAACUCAAAUGAAUUGACGGGGGCCCGCACAAGCGGUGGAGCAUGUGGUUUAAUUCGAUGCAACGCGAAGAACCUUACCUGGUCUUGACAUCCACAGAACUUUCCAGAGAUGGAUUGGUGCCUUCGGGAACUGUGAGACAGGUGCUGCAUGGCUGUCGUCAGCUCGUGUUGUGAAAUGUUGGGUUAAGUCCCG